rnacentral:rRNA from 1 species
AGUGAACGCUGGCGGUAGGCCUAACACAUGCAAGUCGAACGGCAGCACAGUAAGAGCUUGCUCUUACGGGUGGCGAGUGGCGGACGGGUGAGGAAUACAUCGGAAUCUACUUUUUCGUGGGGGAUAACGUAGGGAAACUUACGCUAAUACCGCAUACGACCUACGGGUGAAAGCAGGGGAUCUUCGGACCUUGCGCGAUUGAAUGAGCCGAUGUCGGAUUAGCUAGUUGGCGGGGUAAAGGCCCACCAAGGCGACGAUCCGUAGCUGGUCUGAGAGGAUGAUUCGCCAACACGGAACUGAGGAAACGGCCAGGCCCCUACGGGAGGGCAGCGUGGGGAAUUUUGGGACAAGGGGGGAAGCCUUAUCCAACCAAAACGCCUGGGUGGAAGAAGGCUUUGGGGUGGUAAAGCCUUUUUGUGGGGAAAAAAAGCAGGCAGGUUAUUACCCGGCGGUCUUACGGUAACCAAAAGAAUAGGCACCGCCAACUUUGGG